GGCCUUAUAUUCAUAAAUGAUAUAAAAUUGCAAAUUUUAAGGAGUAGAAAUUUCUAUUAAGGCUU
rnacentral:tRNA from 1 species